ACGUAGGGGGCGAGCGUUGUCCGGAGUUACUGGGCGUAAAGCGCACGCAGGCGGUCGGCCAAGUUCGGAGUGACAGUUUCCGGCUUAACUGGGAAAGGUCUUCGAAAACUGGCGGACUUGAGGACUUGAGGGGGAGACGGAAUUCCGGGUGGAGCGGUGAAAUGCGUAGAGAUCGGGAGGAACACCAGUGGCGAAGGCGGCUACCUGGACCAGCACUGACAC
rnacentral:rRNA from 1 species